rnacentral:rRNA from 1 species
GAACGCUAGCUACAGGCUUAACACAUGCAAGUCGAGGGGCAGCAUGGUCUUAGCUUGCUAAGGCCGAUGGCGACCGGCGCACGGGUGAGUAACACGUAUCCAACCUGCCGUCUACUCUUGGACAGCCUUCUGAAAGGAAGAUUAAUACAAGAUGGCAUCAUGAGUCCGCAUGUUCACAUGAUUAAAGGUAUUCCGGUAGACGAUGGGGAUGCGUUCCAUUAGAUAGUAGGCGGGGUAACGGCCCACCUAGUCUUCGAUGGAUAGGGGUUCUGAGAGGAAGGUCCCCCACAUUGGAACUGAGACACGGUCCAAACUCCUACGGGAGGCAGCAGUGAGGAAUAUUGGUCAAUGGGCGAGAGCCUGAACCAGCCAAGUAGCGUGAAGGAUGACUGCCCUAUGGGUUGUAGACUUCUUUUAUAAAGGAAUAAAGUCGGGUAUGGAUACCCGUUUGCAUGUACUUUAUGAAUAAGGAUCGGCUAACUCCGUGCCAGCAGCCGCGGUAAUACGGAGGAUCCGAGCGUUAUCCGGAUUUAUUGGGUUUAAAGGGAGCGUAGAUGGAUGUUUAAGUCAGUUGUGAAAGUUUGCGGCUCAACCGUAAAAUUGCAGUUGAUACUGGAUAUCUUGAGUGCAGUUGAGGCAGGCGGAAUUCGUGGUGUAGCGGUGAAAUGCUUAGAUAUCACGAAGAACUCCGAUUGCGAAGGCAGCCUGCUAAGCUGCAACUGACAUUGAGGCUCGAAAGUGUGGGUAUCAAACAGGAUUAGAUACCCUGGUAGUCCACACGGUAAACGAUGAAUACUCGCUGUUUGCGAUAUACUGCAAGCGGCCAAGCGAAAGCGUUAAGUAUUCCACCUGGGGAGUACGCCGGCAACGGUGAAACUCAAAGGAAUUGACGGGGGCCCGCACAAGCGGAGGAACAUGUGGUUUAAUUCGAUGAUACGCGAGGAACCUUACCCGGGCUUAAAUUGCAGAUGAAUUACGGUGAAAGCCGUAAGCCGCAAGGCAUCUGUGAAGGUGCUGCAUGGUUGUCGUCAGCUCGUGCCGUGAGGUGUCGGCUUAAGUGCCAUAACGAGCGCAACCCUUGUUGUCAGUUACUAACAGGUUCCGCUGAGGACUCUGACAAGACUGCCAUCGUAAGAUGUGAGGAAGGUGGGGAUGACGUCAAAUCAGCACGGCCCUUACGUCCGGGGCUACACACGUGUUACAAUGGGGGGUACAGAGGGCCGCUACCACGCGAGUGGAUGCCAAUCCCCAAAACCUCUCUCAGUUCGGACUGGAGUCUGCAACCCGACUCCACGAAGCUGGAUUCGCUAGUAAUCGCGCAUCAGCCACGGCGCGGUGAAUACGUUCCCGGGCCUUGUACACACCGCCCGUCAAGCCACGGGAGCCGGGGGUACCUGAAGUGCGUAACCGCGAGGAGCGCCCUAGGGUAAAACUGGUGACUGGGGCUA